GGUUGCUUCUUUAUUUUUGCGGGAGGGGAAAAAAAGAUGCGUUCUUUACAUGCACUAGGCAGGCACUGAACUGAGCACAGUCAAAUCCCCUGGUGACUGAAUGUCUACAGCCCAAUCUACUGCACUCUUCCUUUCAAUAAGCAGUUUAUCUGAAGGUGAGAAGACAUGGCGUCAUAAGAAAACCCAACCAUCCAGAAACCAACUUUUCAAAGCAAUUUCUGAAUGCCAUGAGACAAUACAAACUAAUGAUGCGGAACUCAGUGCUCCAAGAACUCUUCUUAGACUAAAGAAGCAGUGGAAUUUUGUCAUGGAUUCUCAGCACUCUGGACUCAGUGCACAACAGGUGAGAAGGACAGCGUGGUCAAAUCCCAAAGGCUGA
rnacentral:lncRNA from 12 species